GACGAACGCUGGCGGCGUGCUUAACACAUGCAAGUCGAACGGAAAGGCCCUGCUUUUGUGGGUUGCUCGAGUGGCGAACGGGUGAGUAACACGUGAGUAACCUGCCCUUGCCUUUGGGAUAACUUCAGGAAACUGGGGCUAAUACCGGAUAGGAGUUCCUGCUGCAGGGUGGGGGUUGGAAAGUUUCGGCGGUUGGGGAUGGACUCGCGGCUUAUCAGCUUGUUGGUGGGGUAGUGGCUUACCAAGGCUUUGACGGGUAGCCGGCCUGAGAGGGUGACCGGCCACAUUGGGACUGAGAUACGGCCCAGACUCCUACGGGAGGCAGCAGUGGGGAAUAUUGCACAAUGGGCGGAAGCCUGAUGCAGCAACGCCGCGUGCGGGAUGACGGCCUUCGGGUUGUAAACCGCUUUCGCCUGUGACGAAGCGUGAGUGACGGUAAUGGGUAAAGAAGCACCGGCUAACUACGUG
rnacentral:rRNA from 1 species